AGCAGCCGCGGUAAUUCCAGCUCCAAUAGCGUAUAUUAAAGUUGUUGCAGUUAAAAAGCCGUAGUUGAAUUUCGGGAUUCAUACGUUGGUCGGGCUUUUUGGUCUGUACUUAUGUAAUGAUUCCUACCUUCUGAAUAACCGGCAUGCCAUUAAUUUGGUGCGCCGGGGAAGCAGGACGUUACCUUGAAAAAAUUAGAGUGCUUAAAGCAGGCUAUCGCCUGAAUACAUUA
rnacentral:rRNA from 1 species